UACGUAGGGUGCGAGCGUUAAUCGGAAUUACUGGGCGUAAAGCGUGCGUAGGCGGUUCGUUAAGUUCGUUGUGAAAGCCCCGGGCUCAACCUGGGAACUGCAAUGGAAACUGGCGGGCUUGAGUGUGGCAGAGGGGGGUGGAAUUCCGCGUGUAGCAGUGAAAUGCGUAGAGAUGCGGAGGAACACCGAUGGCGAAGGCAGCCCCCUGGGCCAACACUGACGCUCAGGCACGAAAGCGUGGGGAGCGAACGGG
rnacentral:rRNA from 1 species